AACCACAGAGUAGUUUUUAGGAUUUUUAGUUUGGGAAGGGUAGAAUUUCAGGGGGUUUCUUGUUGUUUGAGUGGCCAGGAAAAGAGUUGGUUUUGGUUAGCCGACGGCGGAAAAAAAAGGGGGUCCGAUUUGGGUAGAAAAAGGGGAAAUUUUUAUAGCUUCAAAGGGGGACGCCGGGUUAGGAGAGAAAAGAGAGAAAGAAGCUCUUGGGUGCGCCGCCGGUUUAGAGUGGGGAAGGCAGGGAGUUGCUGCCGGUUGAAGAGAGGGAGAUCUUGGGUGAAAGAGUAGAAGAAAAGUGGGAAGAAAGGCAAAGGAGGGAGUGCCGCCGGUUGCUUUUGGGCCGGGUCUUUCUGUCUAUAAUAUUAAAACUUUGGCAUUCAUUAGGUAAAGGUAAAAAUGGAUGCGAAU